CCUACGGGUGGCAGCAGUGGGGAAUAUUGGGCAAUGGGCGCAAGCCUGACCCAGCAACGCCGCGUGAAGGAAGAAGGCUUUCGGGUUGUUAACUUCUUUUUUUGAGGACGAAACAAAUGACGGUACUCAAUGUAUAAGCCUCGGCUAACUACGUGCCAGCAGCCGCGGUAUUACGUAGGCCGCAAGCGUUAUCCGGAUUUACUGGGUGUAAAGGGUGUGUAGGUGGGACUGGAAGUCAGAUGUGAAAACCAUGGGCUCAACCCAUGGCGUGAAUUUGAAACUGGAGUUCUUGAGUGAGGGAGAGGCAGGCGGAAUGCGGGGUGGAGCGGGGAAAUGCGUAGAUAUAAGGAGGAACACCAGGGGCGAAGGCGGCCUGCUGGACAUUAACUGACGCUGAGGCGCGAAAGCGUGGGGAGCAAACAGGAUGAGAUACCCGUGUAGUC
rnacentral:rRNA from 1 species